GCAAUAAGAGACUGUGUAGAUAGAUAUGUGAUAAAUAU
rnacentral:guide_RNA from 1 species